rnacentral:rRNA from 1 species
CAACAGGGAUUGCCUUAGUAACUGCGAGUGAAGCGGCAAAAGCUCAAAUUUGAAAUCUAACGUCUUUGGCGUUCGAGUUGUAAUUUGGAGGGGCAUCUUCGGAGUUGGCGCCGUCCUAAGUUCCUUGGAACAGGACGUCAUAGAGGGUGAGAAUCCCGUGCCUGGAUGGCUGUCCAUCUCCAUGUGAAGUGUCUCCGACGAGUCGAGUUGUUUGGGAAUGCAGCUCAAAAUGGGUGGUAAAUUUCAUCUAAAGCUAAAUAUUGGCGAGAGACCGAUAGCGCACAAGUAGAGUGAUCGAAAGAUGAAAAGCACUUUGAAAAGAGAGUUAAAAAGUACGUGAAAUUGUUGAAAGGGAAGCGCUUGAGACCAGACUCAAUCUUUGGUGAUCAGCUGUGCUUCUGUACAGUGCACUUGCCUUUGAUUGGGCCAGCAUCGGUUCUGACGGCGGGAUAAAAGGUUGAGGAAUGUGGCUCUCUUCGGGGAGUGUUAUAGCCUCAGUCAUAAUGCCGCCAGUUGGGACCGAGGACCGCGCUUCGGCUAGGAUGCUGGCGUAAUGGUCUUAAGCGACCCGUCUUGAAACACGGACCAAGGAGUCUAACAUCUAUGCGAGUGUUCGGGUGGAAAACCCUUGCGCGUAAUUAAAGUGAACGGAGGUGGGAACCCCUCGGGGUGCACCAUCGACCGAUCCUGAUGUCUUCGGAAGGAUUUGAGUAAGAGCAUAGCUGUUGGGACCCGAAAGAUGGUGAACUAUGCCUGAAUAGGGUGAAGCCAGAGGAAACUCUGGUGGAGGCUCGCAGCGGUUCUGACGUGCAAAUCGAUCGU